rnacentral:rRNA from 1 species
CCAUUGUGUACUCCAUCUGCUGAGGGUAGCCCUACUUCGCCUCGAUUU